AGUCCUGUCAGAACAUGGCUGCGUCUCACUUCUUCACUUCUCGCUUGUAAACAAUAAAUAUAUAAUGGUAAAAAAAGAGAUAAUAAUCCCAAAUAAAAGUUAAAUGCAUAACAAAUCGGUUCAUUGCAAACAAUAUGCCGUAAACGUCAGCAUUAUAAACGUUUUUGAGUGGAUUUGAGCUGUUUGGACUAAUUGCCCACAAUCCCUAGAGCUACAGAAGAUGUGGUUUAAAAGAGAGGCUCAGACAUUUUCCCGAAAAUUUUCUUUCGCGUUCUACAGAAGAAAGAAAGUCGUAGGAAAUGGGAAAGACGUUGAGGAUCUGACCAACGGCACCGACUUGACCAACAGAAACACAUCCAAAUGUGCCCAGGGCUGCGAGUCCUUCAGAAGAUACACACACACACACACACGGGAGGCGCGCUGACAGAUGGAUUCCUGCUGUCGGAGAGUAACGUGACCUUAUGAAGGAUUCAAGCAUCAUGUAUGAGCAGUGGAUGAAUAUUACAUAAAGCGUUUGGAAAGCUUUCUAGUUAUGAAUUUGAGGUUGUGUUCUUAAGCGUGUUUGUGGCCGUGCGCUUGUCUAUUUUUGUGUGUGUGUUUUUUUGCAUUCUAUAUGUGACUCUGUACUUGCAUGUUGUGUGUGUGUGUGUGUGUGUGUGUGUGUGUGAGGCCAAGGCCUCCUAAACACAGCCAUAUUCUGCAGAUAACCGGAUUAGGAACGAGGCGUAUAAUAAGUCUGUGAAUGUGGCCCCUGGCGCUGCUGUAAUCCUCUGCUUUGAUGUCUCUCGGCUCCAUCAGGUGCGAGCGGGCUCUCGGGCCCCGGGCUGAAGCUCCGCUCCGCAGCUCAAAGUGCCUCAUUAGUUUUGCCUGUUUACUAAACUUGGCCCCUUGUGAUGGAAAAUAGUCAGAUGCACAGCCGAAUCCUGUCGACGAUGCACAUUUCUCUCUUUUCAGAAAGUGGGAGGGUGGGAGAAGGAAGCCGGAGACAUCUUGCAGUGUCCGAAUUUACCUCAACACCAUCAUUAUCAGCAGCUUUCUGCAUCUUAUACCAGCACUGGGUUAAAUAAUUACAGGGUUAUUUAAACAACAUCAAAAAAAAA